GUUGGAGUAGGGAUGCAUCUAAAAGCUGCAGGACAGUAGCUCUCGAGGACUGGGAUUGGGCACCCCUGCUCUAGCUACAUAGGUCUUCAUUUGUCCAAGACUUCUUCAUGUUACUGCCUGAUGCUGCAUUCAGGUGCUGCUCCGGUGCUUGAUGUUGCAGGCAGCAGCUCCCACCUCUAGGGAGAAGAAUAGUCUGCGAUGCGUUGGUGUAAGUGCUGCACCAGAACAGGAUCGGAAAGUCAGAAAUGUAAGAUCAAAGGUAAAAGGGGACAGAAGAUUAAAGAGGGCAAUAAGGCUGGCUGCAGCUGAAAUGAAUGGCUUUUAGCAUUGCUUUAUGCCGCUGCGAGGAAACAUUAUCAACUUUUUGCUUCCGUGUCUAUCAUCCAGCAGCAAAGGUGUGAAGGCAACUGUCAUCUUUUCUUUUCUUUUUUUUUCUUGCAAAACACCAUUAAGAGUUCUACUUUGUGCAUCAAUUUGAGAAGCCAAAGUGGGCGCAAAGUGUCUUCAUCCCCCCUGGCAAACACAAUUAUGUCUGAGUAUGAUUACAGAUCUGAUUAAACUGCAACUCUUUGUGGAUAAAUGGGCAACGCUGAUUACGAUCAACCUUUUAUCGCUUCAAAAUGGGUUGCCCUCAAGGUCCAAGUUGAGAGAGUUUCAGCUUUACAAAUUUCCCAAAUGAAGGAAACGUACUUGAGAGGUGUUCCCUGUCAAUGUGUGAAUGCGGGGUAGGGAUGCAAAUGGUUUUGUAAGAAUUUCAUUAGGCUGGUAUUAUUCAUCACUUUCUCAAAUGUAUCCUUGCUCAAAGUCAUUUUGCCAUAUUCCCUCAACAUAACUGAGAGUGCUUUAUUGUAUUACAAUCAGUACCAUCAGAGGGUUCACUGAGUGGAGUGGGUUGGGAAGUUUAAAAAAAAAACCCUUUUUAAAGGUUGAUUAAAUCAUUCAAUGAAGAACUGAUUAAACUGUCGGGAGUGUGGCGAAAUAGAGAGCAAGAAAAAGAGAGAGGUGAAUGCCAAAAUUCAUUUAUUUACCCCUAGGGUCAUUAAUUCUAUUUUCUCCCUCUGUAUGCACGACUGAUCCAACUAAACAGUGGCUUAAACAAGUGGCAAGACAAAACAAGGCAAUGGGCUCUGGAUGCUAAAUGGAAACUAAAUGAAAUUAAGUUAAAGGGGCAAACAAGCUAUGGUAAUUCAUACAUUCUCUCACUGUUAUUAA